UGUGUCCAGUUCAGGUUUCCCCAGUAUAAGAAUGAUGUGGACAUACUGAAGAGUCUAAUGUUGGACCACAAAGAUGAAUAAGGGACUGGGUAACCUCUCAUGUUAGGACAGGCUGAGAGAGCUGGGACUCUUCAUCCUAGAGAAGAGAAGGCUCAGAUGGGAUAUAAAUAUAUUUCUAAGUAUGUGAAGGGAAGGUGCAAAAAAGAAUAGAGCCAAGGCAAGAGGCAGUGGACACAAUCUGAAACACGAGAGGUCCAUUUGCUGUGGAGACUAUCUUCAGGACAGAUUUGCAGAGUAGUAAAAAGCAAUGAAAAGACAUGUUGCACCUUUCUGAUGUUCUUUCCAUGUCCUAUUUUCAGCUGAGAGCAGUGAAUACACUAAGUCAGGAAUUUUUCAGCCUCUCAUGCUGCCCUGCCAGUGAGGAGGCCAGGGGUUCUCAAGAAGCUGAGAGGGGACAGAAUCAGAACACAAAUUGUCUAAAGGGUUGCUUUUUUUAGGAGACUGUGAAAAGGAUAUGGAAGAAGCAUGAUGACAACUAUCAGAAUAAUAAGAGGAACAGAAUCUGAAGGGUUGGCUGGUAAUCUGUUCUGAUCAGAGCUGUACCGUGUUUUAACUGUCAGCAGCAAAACUGAAACUGAAUAGACUUCAAAGGAAAUGAAACCCCACAAAGGACACAAAGAAUUAUCCAAAGGUUGCAAUUUUAUCUGUUUUCUGGGACAGUCUAUGAUGAGCAAACAUUUUCUUUUUUCCUUUUUUUUUUUUUUUUUUUUUUUCUCUCUUUUCUUAAUUAAAACAAAAUGCAGCCUUAGAGGAGGGAAAAAAGUUUGUUAUAUAGCAAGAAAACAAAUAUUCAUUUUGAAGAGGUAUACUAAUACACAGUAAACUGUGAAUUCACCUUUAAAUUGUGAACACCUUGGUAAUUCCCUUAGUAACUAGUCUAAUGCUUGUGAAGUGAAAGAGCUAUUGUUUGCAGUUUUGUUUAACAAAAACAUUAAUUUAAACCUUUUCAAUACUGAUGUUUUAGAUAACUGCAUGUACUUGUACUAUACAAUGAUGGAUAGACUACAUGCAAUAAAGUUAUUGCAUUAUAUUGUUUUGUAGUGAAGUAAUAUCUUUUUUUUCUGCAUGAGGAAAAAAAGAUGUAUAUGAUGUUUUGGUGUUAUAUCUUCUAACUGAAAGUGCAUCAUUUUUGUUUCAUUAUAACUAUGUUGCUUACACAAGCCAUUUGACAAAGCCUAACUGCCAUUUUUGUGAAAAGACAAAACCUAACAACUGGUUAAUUAUAUGCAGCACUGCAUAAUAUCAAGGAACAGAAAAAAAUAUUUUUCAUCUGAAAAUGCAGAGGAAAUAUACUUUAAUUUUGGAGUUUACUUUCACAAGCAUGCAUAACUCAUAGGCCUUUCAAAAAGCUCACUUUGACAUUUCAGCGAAAGAAGCAAAAUUGUGAAGGGCAGACAAGGUCUGCCAGUGUCAGACACAAAAUAUUGUGUGUACAGUUUUCAUACAGUCUUCAUUCUGCUUUCAAAUUCCAGUUGAAUUCAGUCUAUUCAGUUUUCUUAAGGUAGGUUUGCCUGAUCUUACCCAACAAAUAGAAUUCACAGAGAUGGAGAAAGAAAUGAUUCUGUUUCUGUUGUCUAUUAACUCAAGCUGUGCCUAGGAUGCACUACAAGGUGAUAGUUAAAGGGCUUUUCCAGAGAUAUGAGACAAUAUAAACCAAAUUUUGGCCCUUAUUCAGCUACAGAGUGCAAUUAAGUGUUCAGAUUCUCAACUUGCAAGAAAGUCCCCUCACUACCAUAGUAAAGGGAAAUUUGAGUCACUACUUCAGAACAGAGUUGUUUCAGUUUAUGUAUUAUGAAUGCAGAAAUAGUAAUUUAUCCAGACUGAAGACACAUAUGAAUUAAUUGCUAGCAUGGACUAGCUUCAGGCUUUCACCUGAAAGGGGAAUUAAAUGCUGAUUUGCUCUAUAAGUAGUAUUUGCCUAUUCACAAAAAAGUGAAAGACAAACAACAGGUGUUUGAUGCAAGAUGCAAGUGUCUUGAUUUCCUGUAUUCACAACAAAAAUGCAUAUGCUCCGUGAAAACAUACAGUUUUGAUGGAAGUAAUCUCAAGGCAGGAGCAUGACUUGAUCCAAAUUUGUCUGAAUGUAAGUCCGUAUUCUGUAUAAAUAAAACCAAAUCAGAUUUUUUUGAGAAAUUAUUAUGAAUUUUCUUAUUUUCUUUUUCCGUAUAACUGACCCUGUAUAAACAAUGUGAUUGAUAUGUAAAAUUUCAUGAUGAGCUUUAUUUAUUUUUUACUUGUCAAGAAAACAAUGAAAUGCUAAAUUUAUUUGGAAUUCAGACAUUUUUUUUUCUAAGUUUUCCAGCUAUUUGACAGAAGAAUCAGCUAUUCUUUCAGCCAAACCCUCCAGAUAAUAGUUUAAAAACAAUAGUCUUUGCCUUAUUAUUUAAAUGUGCAUAGUAAUAAGAUGGUGCACACCUUGAUGUAGAUAAUCAUACACAGUGCUUCAAAUGGAACAAAUUAGUCCAGUGAAAACAGGUAACUUUAAAAAUGCUAUAAUUUUGGUUUAAAAAGUACAGAAUUCCUAUUCAUAACUAAUUCAACUCUUUUAAAAUUCAGAUUUAAAUUAUGUACUCAGAUACAUUCACCUUUUAUUGUGCUUAUUAUCAAGUAUAUUGUAUAUCUAAGAACUUAUAGAUGAUAAAUAUCUUAGAUUUCCCAUCUAACUCAAAGACUGAGCACAACCAGGUAUAGUUGAUUUACAUCUCAGUAUAUCCAUUUUAAAUGUGUGUAAUCCUUUGAAUACCUCAUAAUGCUAAGGCAGGUUUUGUAAAUUGAAGUCUAUGAUUAUGAUGGUCCUAAUGCACAUGUGCACUUGUAAUUUUAUGUUCUUGUGCAUGCAAUA
ensembl:lncRNA